rnacentral:rRNA from 1 species
UACGAAGGGGGCAAGCGUUGUUCGGAUUUACUGGGCGUAAAGGGCGCGCAGGCGGUCUUGAAAGUCAGGCGUGAAAGCCCCGGGCUUAACCUGGGAAUUGCGCUUGAUACUCUGAGACUGGAGUACGGGAGAGGAGAGUGGAAUUCCCAGUGUAGAGGUGAAAUUCGUAGAUAUUGGGAAGAACACCAGUGGCGAAGGCGGCUCUCUGGACCGUAACUGACACUGAGGCGCGAAAGCGUGGGGAGCAAACAGG